rnacentral:lncRNA from 1 species
AGAACCCAUGGGGCUAGGGAUAUAGCUUAGUUGGUAGUGUGCUUGCCUCAUAUGUACAAGGUCCUAGGUUCAAUCCCCAUCAUCAUAAAUAAAUAAAUAAAAACUAGAACUCGUUUUACCAAUGGCAGGAAUCCUGGGACUGUGGUGAUAUUAAUUACAGUGGAGACUUGAUUGUGGCAGAAUGUUAAAUGGUUGUGGGUCUAUGGCAUAUCUCAUGCUACAGAUGCACCCAACCCCGUUCUGAUCUUAGAGACAGGUUUCCUGAGAUAUUGCAACUCCACAACAAGAAAAGAUUCUCAGUUGUCCUCCUUCCAAUGAGAUUCCUCCCAAAUCAUGACCUAUGCAUGGACGUAGAAUGGAG